CUUGGUCUGGGGCAGGCUCACUGUAACUCUCUCUCUCCACCAGAGGAGAUAAAAAACGAAAAAUGCAAAUAGGAGAUCCAGCAGGGACGUGAACACCGCUCAGUGAGAAAGGGAACCGAACACCCAGGUGACUGGGAUCAACUUUAGAAACUGGCCUUCACUGAGCAGGACCAGGGAGGAGAGUGACUGGCAGGAAAUCUGCUCCUGUCUCCCAUCAGCCUACCUUCUGCUCUGCAGAUAAGGAAGCUGAGGCUCAGAAAGCUACAAAAAGCUUGCUUCGGGUCACCAGGCCACUGUGUGGUGGAGCUGGCACUUGACGCUAAACACACCUUCAUCGCAGACCUAUUAUCGAGUGCUAGGUUAGGCUCCGGAAGAUGCAAAUCUUGGAAAGCUCUGGAAGCCACAGUCUGAAUGGUUUACCAGUGGGCAAUUUGGACAACUGAGGGCAUGUCACAGGAGGUUUUCAGUUGCUGGGUGUCCCAUAAGGCAGGGGUGACCUUAUCCCCGUCUCCCUGGGUCUGUCCAACUCUGUCCUUUCAGGAGGUCCUCAUCCUGGGGAGGAGGGGCCUGGAAAGGAAUGAGGGCACCUGGCUGGGGCUUCUGUUUGUGAAUAUAGAAAUCCUGCUUGUCUUCAAGAGUCCCAACGUCCCUAUGCUGGGUUAACGGUCCCAGCUGAGGGCUCCCCAGCACUGUGAGCUGACCUUGAACAUGGCAGUUGUCUCUUGAUGUGAAGGUUUCCUUUAGUCUGUUUGUCUCCCUCUUUACACUUGAUCUUAGACAAGAGGCCAAGAAGGGAUUGUCUCCCUCUUUAGAUGGUCUUCUCCCUCUGGCCAAGGGCCCCAUCCUAUUUAU